rnacentral:misc_RNA from 1 species
AACGCACCUUGCACUCCUUGGUAUUCCGAGGAGUAUGCCUGUUUGAAUGUCUGACUUUCAUCAAUUCUCCUUUACUUUUGUAAUGGUCGGAUUGGAUUUGGGGAUUGCUGGACCUUGUGUCUGGCUUCCCUUGAAUGCAUUAGUUGAAUUGACUUGCAACGCUAUGUGUAGUGUGAUAAUAUCUUCACUACAUAGUUGUAAUGAAGUUUGGCUUCUAACCGUCUUUCAUUAGACAAUCUUGACCAUUAGACCUCAAAUCAGGUAGGACUACCCGCUGAACUUAA